rnacentral:lncRNA from 1 species
AUGUUGGGGUCCCUAUUGGGAUCUCAUUGUCCCCACCCCAAUAUUGGGGUCCCCAUUGGCAUCUCAACAUUCCCACCCCUAUAUUGGGGUCCCCAUUGGCAUCUCAAUCUUCCAACCCCAUUGUUGGGGUCCCCAUUAGGAUCUCAACAUUCCCACCCCAAUGUUGGGGUCCCCAUUGGCAUCUCAUUGUCCCCACCCCUAUAUUGGGGUCCCCAUUGGGAUCUCAUCGCCCCCACCCCUAUAUUGGGGUCCCCAUUGGGAUCUCAUUGUCCCUACCCCUAUAUUGGGGUCCCCAUUGGGAUCUCAACGUCCCCACCCCAGUAUUGGGGUCCCACCCCAAUGUUGGGGUUGCCCCCGAGAUCUCAAUGCCCCCAUCCCAAUAUCAGGCUCCCCAUCCCACCGCUGGUCUCCCCACCACCCCACAGACCCCAGCGAGGACCCCAUCCUCAAUUUGGGGCCCCUUCUCACUCCUCCCCCUCCAGGAAAUCCCAUAAGAGACGAUUGACUUCUUCGGGGCGGUCCUCGGGCAGCCAAUGCCCCGCAUUUGGGAUGAGGUGGAGGCGGGCAUGGGGGGCCAUCCGCUGCUGUAGGUAUGGGGCCAGCCGGGGGUCCAGGAAGGCAUCGCAGCCACCCCAUAAAAUCAGCACCGGGCACGAAGGGCGCUCGCGGGGCACCGGGGAGUCGCUGUGGGGUUGGGGUGGGGGGAGAGGGGUGAGGGGAGGGGGUACGACCCCAAUGGGAACGUCCCAAAUGGGAGCAUCCCGAACUGGGGUGUCCCAAAUGGGAACAUCCCAAAUAGGAACGUCCCAAAUGGGAGCAUCCCGAACUGGGGUGUCCCAAAUGGAAACAUCCCAAAUAGGAACGUCCCAAUGGGAGCAUCCCAAUGGGAACAUCCCAAAUUGGGGUAUCUCAAAAGGGAAAAUCCCAAAUGGGAACGUCCCAAAUGGGAGCAUCCCAAAUUGGGGUAUCCCAAAAGGGAACGUCCCAAAUAGGAACGUCCCGAAUUGGGGUAUCCCAAAAAGGAACAUCCCAAAUGGGAGCAUCCCGAACUGGGGUGUCCCAAAAGGGAACAUCCCAAAUAGGAACGUCCCAAAUGGGAGCAUCCCAAACUGGGGUGUCCCAAAAGGGAACAUCCCAAAUGGGAACAUCCCAAAUUGGGGCAUCCUAAAAGAACAUCCCAAAUCUGAGCAUCCCAAAAGGGAACAUCCCAAAAGGGAAUGUCACAAAUGGGAACAUUCCAAAGGGAGCAUCCCAAAUUGGGGUAUCCCAAAAGGGAACAUCCCAAAUAGGAACGUCCCA